rnacentral:rRNA from 1 species
AGUGAACGCUGGCGGUAGGCUUAACACAUGCAAGUCGAACGGUAGCACAGUAAGAGCUUGCUCUUACGGGUGGAGAGUGGCGGACGGGUGAGGAAUACAUCGGAAUCUACUUUUUCGUGGGGGAUAACGUAGGGAAACUUACGCUAAUACCGCAUACGAACUACGGGUGAAAGCAGGGGAUCUUCGGACCUUACGCGAUUGAGUGAGACGAUGUCGGAUUAGCUAGUUGGUGGGGUAAAGGCCCACCAAGGCAACGAGCCGUAGCUGGUCUGAGAGGAUGAUCAGCCACACUGGAACUGAGACACGGUCCAGACUCCUACGGGAGGCAGCAGUGGGGAAUAUUGGACAAUGGGCGCAAGCCUGAUCCAGCCAUACCGCGUGGGUGAAGAAGGCCUUCGGGUUGUAAAGCCCUUUUGUUGGGAAAGAAAAGCAGCAGGUUAAUACCCCGCUGUUCUGACGGUACCCAAAGAAUAAGCACCGGCUAACUUCGUG